rnacentral:rRNA from 1 species
GCUCUGUAAUCAGCUCAUAGCGUUAUUAAGUUGUUGCAGUUAAAAAGCUCGUAGUUGAAUUUCGGGAUUGACACAUCGGUCGUGCCUUAAGGGGUAUGAACUGGUGUAGUCAAUUUCUCACCUUCUGGAGAACCGCGAUGCCCUUAAUUGGGUGUCACGGGGAACCAGGACCUUUACUUUGAAAAAAUUAGAGUGUUUAAAGCAGGCAUUUUGCUUGAAUACAUUAGCAUGGAAUAAUAAAAUAGGACGGCAUGAUUCUAUUUUGUUGGUUUCUAGGAUCACCGUAAUGAUUAAUAGGGAUAGUUGRGGGCAUUAGUAUUCAAUUGUCAGAGGUGAAAUUCUUGGAUUUAUUGAAGACUAACUACUGCGAAAGCAUUUGCCAAGGAUGUUUUCAUUAAUCAAGAACGAAAGUUAGGGGAUCGAAGACGAUCAGAUACCGUCGUAGUCUUAACCAUAAACUAUGCCGACUAGGAAUCAGACGAUGUUAAUUUUUUAAUGACUCGUUCGGCGCCUUAMCGGGGAAACA